rnacentral:lncRNA from 1 species
AUUUAUGUACGUAAAGAAAUGCAUUUUAUUUACUUCAUAGUUAGUAUAUGAAACAUUGAUACUGUUAAGUUGUCUUCACACAGGUAUAGCUUUGCGAGACUGCAGUUUAUAUCUCGCAUGCACAACAAACGUAAAUGAGGGUCGUGAUUAGAGCUAAAAGAAGAAAAAAAGAAAAUAAUUUACUCCCAAAAAAUUAGAUAAAAAGGGUCUAAUAUAUAUACAGAAUAGAAAAUAAUCAUGACAAUGGGCAUAAAAUAUAAAAGAAAUAGAGAAAUAUGAUCUAAAUUAUCAUAGAAUACAGAUAUGAAAGACCCCAUCUAGACCCUAGUAAAUGCUGUAAGAUGUGUCGAUUAUUUCGCAUUUACGGAAAAAAUAAAUCCAUAUAUUGUAUAGUACGUUUUGCA